UACGAAGGGGGCUAGCGUUGCUCGGAAUGACUGGGCGUAAAGGGCGCGUAGGCGGAUGGUACAGUCAGAUGUGAAAUUCCUGGGCUCAACCUGGGGGCUGCAUUUGAUACGUGCUGUCUAGAGUGAGGAAGAGGGUUGUGGAAUUCCCAGUGUAGAGGUGAAAUUCGUAGAUAUUGGGAAGAACACCGGUGGCGAAGGCGGCAACCUGGUCCUUUACUGACGCUGAGGCGCGAAAGCGUGGGGAGCAAACAGG
rnacentral:rRNA from 1 species